AUUGAACGCUGGCGGCAGGCCUAACACAUGCAAGUCGAACGGUAACAGGGAUCAGCUUGCUGAUUCGCUGACGAGUGGCGGACGUGUGAGUAAUGUCUGUGAAACUGCCUGAUGGAGGGGGAUAACUACUGGAAACGGUAGCUAAUACCGCAUAACGUCGCAAGACCAAAGAGGGGGACCUUCGGGCCUCUUGCCAUCGGAUGUGCCCAGAUGGGAUUAGCUAGUAGGUGGGGUAACGGCUCACCUAGGCGACGAUCCCUAGCUGGUCUGAGAGGAUGACCAGCCACACUGGAACUGAGACACGGUCCAGACUCCUACGGGAGGCAGCAGUGGGGAAUAUUGCACAAUGGGCGCAAGCCUGAUGCAGCCAUGCCGCGUGUAUGAAGAAGGCCUUCGGGUUGUAAAGUACUUUCAGCGGGGAGGAAGGGAGUAAAGUUAAUACCUUGGCUCAUUGACGUUACCCGCAGAAGAAGCACCGGCUAACUACGUG
rnacentral:rRNA from 1 species